CUAGAACAAUGGAACGGUGGGCAGGACGAGUUGCUCUUGUAACCGGUGCAUCUGUUGGCAUUGGUGCCGCUAUUGUGCAACAGCUUGUUCAAAAUGGCAUGAAAGUUGUAGGCUGUUCAAGAAAUAUCGAUAACAUUCAGGUAUCAUAUUUAUAUCUUUUAUCAUCUUUUAUUUUAUACACACAACAUGUACACGCAGAUGUAAGUACAACAGACUUAUAUGUGUGGACGUGCUAUUGUACAUGUCGAUCUCGUGCUGAAAACAUAUUUCGGUAACGCACAGGCAACAACCAAUGUUUUAAAUAAUACAUUUAUAUGCGAUUAUUGUACAUCUAUAAUAUUCUAAUAUAUAGUCGUGUGAGUGAGGUGUAAAAGUACACACAAUUUUAAUAUUUGCCAUUUUUAACCCCCCUUUAAUAUAUUAUAAAUGAAAUAUUAAAUUUAUAGCCAACAUCAUAGUAUGAGAAAGUUUAUGUUAAUUGUAACCAUGGGAACAUCAUUAUAGACGCAUUUUAAAAUUUAUGCAAUUGUAUUAAUAAUUGAUAUUCGGACGAUAGAGAACGGAUAUAUAGUUAUUAGAAGAUGUGGUCUAAGUACCAAUGAGACAUUUCUCCAUCCAAGUCACAAUUUGUAAAAAGUAAACCAUUAUAUGUAGAAUACAUUAAGUAUCAAUUGCCAAUAGCUACAACAGUACAAUAACAGAGACAAGAAUGAUAGGUUGUGCAUUUAAAGCAACAUUAUUUUAUAUAGCAAACAAAAACAUCUUUAAAAUAGAUUUCUAUAUAAAGAAGUAACUUGCUUUAUACCUGUUACUAUUACAAAUAUAUGUUAUUUUAAGAUUGACUAGCUUUUGUAAGAUAACAAAUAAAGCUUGAUCUAGUUAUAUGGUACCUAAUUAUUAUCUCAUUAAACCCUAUAUUAAGUGCAAAUGAUGUUUAUUUUUUUCUAAUUUUUAUUUCUUCAACUGUCCUUUAUAUAUGUUUUUCCUUGUUUGCACUCAUAAAAUAAAAGCAUAUCAAAAUAUGAUUCUCAAACAGACACCGCUACACUACAAUAUAAUUUUAUUAUUGAAAAUAUUAAAUGACAUAAACAUGCAGGUUUUUUUUUGCAUUCUGUUGUCUGUCGUACUAAGUAAUGUUAGACUGCGUUAGUUUUAUAUGUGAUACAAGGUUUGCGUCUGUCUGUCAAUCAUGUACACACACGUUGUUACAUUGUAUGUGUAUCCAUUCAAGUUUAAUAGUCUUAAGAUAUUUUCAUCUCGAUUUUACAAUCGGAGGUAAAAACCGACACUAAACAAAUACAUGUAAUUGCAUAAAUUUUGCUGAGCCGAAUGUAUAAAUACACAGCCAAGUACGGUGUCAAUGUGUUCGUUAAAUGCGAUAUUACAUUGUAUGCAUAUUCAUUUAGCUGUAACAGUCACACGGGGUUCACUCGGUAAAAACACACUGUCAUCUGAACUUUUCUAAUCGGCUGUAAAACUUUAAACCUACUCCUGUACACUAAAAACUGACAAUUUAAAUCCACAUGAAGCCAAGUCCGGUCCGAAUGUGUUCGUUAAACAUGUAAAAUGCGAUUAUGUGAGUACCACCCUCAAGUCAUUAUUCCUGUAUUGUAAUCCUUUAAGGAUGUUUGCUCCUAUACUUUUCUAGUUUGUGUCAGAUUUUCGGAAUCCUCUGGUUUGAUCCAUGUAUUGCCAUUAACAAAUUUUGCCCACUAACCCCUAUUUUUUUCAUAAUCUUAUUACAUAUUGUGUAAAAAGACAAUUUUCAAAAUCUUAUCAAAUACUUGUUAUUUUUUCAUAGUUUUUGAAACCAAAAAAGUUCAAAUGUUACAUGUAAAUAUAUAAAAAAUCUAGAGAAAAUCAUUUCUCGCCAAAUUUUCAAUGGCUUAUAUCUCGAAAACAAGCACACGGACGCACAAUUUGCUUCUGCUCUUUUAGUUUUUUUUAUUUAUAUACUAUCAAUUCAUAACAGUCCAUUAAAACGCUUGUUAUUUUUAAACAGAGUAGCGAACAUCCUUAAAUGAACAUUAACUGUCCAUCACCACGGGUCAGUGUAGUACUAUGCAAACCCUUUCUAUUUCACAGUGUCUACACUUUUUUCUCUCUGUCAAGUUACAAAUAAAAGACACAAAACGGCAUAAAAGAACAUAAAAUAAAUAUCAAAAAAGGAAUUAAAAAUAGAAAAAUAAAUCUAUGACAUGAAUGAGUGCUCAUGAUAUAUCUAUAUUCCUUUAACGAAUCCACAAAUUAAAACAAAAUUUUACAAGCAGACAACUACUGAAAUCAAGAUUUGAAAGCCUACCCAGCUGAUAAUAGGAAAUUGUAUCUUCGAAUGCUCUAAUAUUGGUGGUUUUACUUCGAAUUCAAAUUAUAUCAACAAUAACGUCAUAAUCAGUACAGUAAUUCAUAUUCUUGUACAGCAAUAAAAACGGGAUGUUUUAUGAUUGCCAAUGAAACAACAAUCACCACGUCAGAGUUCACAUAAUACGGAUAUUAAUAGGAGUUAUAGGCAACUGCAAGACCUCCAACAACUGAGAAAUAUCUGAAAAAUGUUCCAUUACUAAAAUAUAUAAAUGACAAUGCAAUAGUACAAAAGGAUCAUUGACUCUUCUAACUACAUGUAUAAAUAUUAUAACAUAUUUGUUUUUUAUUCAGGUUCUUAAAACGAAAUUAUCAUCUGCCAAAGGCCAGGUAAUACCUGUGAGAUGUGACUUGAAAAAUGAACAAGACAUUAUUGAUAUGUUCACCAUGAUCAAACGAGAUCUGGGUGGCGUAGAUGUUUGUGUCAACAAUGCUGGAUUAGCGCAUGCUGCUCCAUUACUCAGUGGGGAAACAAAAGAUUGGAGAGAAAUGGUGGAUGUAAGUUGUAAAGGGAAAAUAAUUAAGAAACAUUCAAUGUUGGUUUAAAGACUUAAUGGCGGUGUUGAAGAACUUUCAUAUUUGAUUUUGUUUGAACGUUAUUUGAAAAUAAAUUAAACUCAGUGUGUGAAAUAGAUUCGAUAAUAUUGGGUUCACUGUCCAAAAUAGUUAAAGAUUCAAUUUUUUAACCGUGCUAAAUUUUAAUGUUUUUGCAUAGUUUCAGUUAGAAAGUAAAAUAGCAAACGUACUGACUUUUAAGGCAACCUCUAAAAGGCUAAAACGAAUCCGGGAUUUAGUACAGGCAUUUUCUCCUGUAAAACAUUGUGGAUUAAACCUCUCACUUGUAUGAAAGUGAUUUCAAAACACCCUCUAUUGAAUGCUUCUUUGAGUCGUUCGUAGCGACAAUUUUUAUUUGACGGUCAAAUAAAAUUUAGUUUGUAAAAAAUAGAAAACAACACGUUUAAUUAUUUCUUGCGUUCGAAGCGCUUUCCUGGAUUUAUCCUUCAUCAGGAACUCUCAAAGCCAAACAUUUGAAAUCCGAAUAUGUAUAAGUACCGAAACCGUUGAUGAGCUAUAUGUCAAAAAUACCAAAAAUAAAAAGCCAAGUUCAUCUAAAGCCAACUUUGCCUGAGGGAGUUGGAACCUUAGUUUCUUAAUAAUUUCAAAAUUUAUAAACGGAUAAUUUAAGUUAAGUCUGUUAAAUCAUGCCAAUACUGAAAUACUGACUACUGAGCUGAUGAUACCCUCAGGGACUGAUAAAAUUUAAGGAUUUUUUGCAGUCAAAGAUGACGUUUUAUUUAUUUUCAUGUAUCUUCAUUACUAAAUGAGCACGUGUUAGCAUUUUUAUCAUACAUGAAGGUACACUUAUGAUUGUAAUGCAUUUUUAUACUUUCCGACGUCAAUCUGAUACUUUACACUCUCAAUUUUUUAUUACCAAUUAUCGAAAUGUCAUUUAUAACAUAGAAUUGAUGUUUUAUAAAAUUUCAGGUAAAUAUCAUAGGGUUGACAAUUUGUACAAGAGAGGCUGUCAAACAAAUGAGGGAAAAGGGCGCGAAUGAUGGACAUGUAUUUCUGCUAAACAGGUUUGUCUGAAAAUAUCAAACUUACUUAUUCGAAAAAUUUACCUAGCAGAUAUUUGAUAACAUGAACAUAUAUAGAUAAUUUGAAACAAUUGCAGUUAAAUAUUCAUCAGAAAUAAUAAAAUAAUCUUUGCAACAUCCGAAAAAUAAAAAAUAAUAUUUUAGUAUUCACUAGAUUCUUUUUCAUAUCUCUCUCGAUCAUUCUCUUGAACACCGUAGUCAAAUGUAUUGGAUUUUGCAGAAGUUUCAUAACGAGGUGAUAUAAGAAGAGGUUCGUAUUAUAUUCAGUAGCGGAUCCAAGAGCUUGGAGGGAGGGGUUUUGUGGGUUGAAACUCCAUUUUUGAUAAUCAAUGAUUUUGAAUGGAGACAUACAGUUGAACAGCAAGCUUCCUUUUUAAUGUCUGGAUCCGUCCCUGACGUUGCACUGAACAGAUAAAUUGUCUAUAGAAAAGUUACUCAUACUAACUAGAAAAUGUAUUUUAUUUUUAGUAUAUCUGGUCAUCUAGUAAUUACUUACGCUAUUGGACAUUUUUAUUCAGCUACCAAACAUGCUGUGACUGCUCUCGGAGAAGGAAUCAGACACGAACUGCGAGAAAUGAAAUCACAAAUAAAAAUCACGGUAAUUCAACUGAUAAGAUAGAGUUUCUUUAACAAAAAUAUAUAAACGUAAAAAUAAGAACACGUGGUAUGACUGCCUUUCAGCUGAUAUGACAACAAAAUGACACAGAAAUUAAGAACUAUAGGUCACCUUUAAAUUAUAAAAACAUGUUUCUGUAAACACUAAUUAAGAUGGUUAUAAAUCUAAGAAAACAGUAUGAGUGUUAGUAACUGAACGUUGCUAUGUAUAAACACCGUUUAGUAUUUGCCAGAAAGCGGUAAGUGAACAUUGUUUUUGUGUGUUAGUAUUUUGGUGUUUUGUAGUCUUAUUAAACACGUGAUCUGCACUAUUCAUCUUAUAUUAGAUUGGUUACUUACACUUUUAUACUAUGAGACAUUGCACUUCCGGUCGUCCCAAAGUUUGACUGGGGUAUAGAAAUAUGGUCACUUGGUCUUCUCCCGACCGGCAGAAAAAAACGCUUGCCGUAGUAGGGCGUCCGUUUGGCUGUGCGGGAUGUAUCAAGUUCGCAGUCACGUCCGGUCAGAAGGGGGACGUUGAAUCCGAUGCCUCGUGUAAAGAGAGUGCCACGCUCUUUGCACGUUAAGAAACCCUUGCAACAACUAUUUUGAGGGUCCUUAGGUGGUCUGUUGCAAGGCAAAAUUUUUGUCCCUAUCCAAAAUACCCUCAUUUCCCAGUAGUAGUCCAAAUUUCCCCGACCAUCAUCCCGGAUGGCCUCUAUCGUAUCAACCUACCUAAUGUAUUUAUUGUGAACUUGUUCUCGUCCUGAAUAUACAUGAAAUAUUUGCCACUGGAAGUUAAGCAACCAACAAUCAAUCAAUCAAUCACUUCCGGUCGUUUUAUUUCUUUAUUAUGUGGGUCUCAUUGGGUCUAAGCGUGACGCGAUAUGGCCGAUUUUUUGUAUGCGUGACACGUGAAAGUCAAAUUAUUCUGCAAUGAAAACGGGAAAAUUAAGUCUAGCGGGACACGGAAAAUUACAAAAAAAAAAAUGAGAGUUGUUAACGUACAUUGUGUAAGCGGGAUACAGGAAUCUGACAAAACAUUAAGCGGGAUCCUGGAUCAGAACCCCUCUAUGAUGGGUAUCCCGAAAGACGGGAUAUGUGAGUACUAUUCGUAUAUAUUAUAUACAGAUAAAAAAAAUCUUUAGACUUAUUUUGUUUAUGUCUAGAGAGGUUAAAAGUCAGGCAAUCUGCUUUAAGUGUGAAUCUGUUGGAAACGGAACGUGUAUACGACUAAUCUUUAUCUAUUGAUGAUGUUUCAAUAGUUAUCAAAGGCACCAGGAUUAUAAUGUAGAACGCCAGACGCGCGUUUCGUCUACAUAAGACUCAUCAGUGACGCUCAUAUCAAAAUAUUUAUAAAGCCAAACAAGUACAAAGUUGAAGAACAUUGAGGAUCCAAAAUUCCAAAAAGUUGUGCCAAAUACGGCUAAGGUAAUCUAUGCCUGGGGUAAGAAAAUCCUCAGUUUUCGAAAAUUUCAAAUUUUGUAAACAGGAAAUUUAUAAAAAUGACCACAUAAUUGAUAUUCAUGUCAACACCGAAGUGUUGACUACUGUGCUGGUGAUACCCCCGGGGACGAAACGUCCACCAGCAGUGGCAUCGACCCAGUGGUGUAAAUAGUGAGAAACUACUGUUUUUUUUUCAUUUUCCAAAUCAUACAUACUUUUUUUUCGUCUGAAACUCAGUGUAUCCUUAGAUAUGAUUUAUCAAGUAUUGACACUGGCGUAGUGCAUCUAUUUGAAUGAAAUUGAAAUAAAUAGAUGAAUCAGUAUAGGUACUAUUUACUGCACUGACAUCGAAAUAAAAUUUAACAAUAUGAAUAAUGGCAUUUUUUGCUUGUGCUUCAAUUUAAUAUUUUUUAUUACAGUCAAUCAGUCCAGGUCUAGUUGAAACAGAGUUUGCACAAAAGUUGCAUAAAAGUGAGGGAAAAGCUAAGGCAUUAUACGCAAGUAUAAAGGUAUGAUUAUAACGUUAUCAAAUAAUAACACUUAAAAGGAUACGUGUUUCAUACAGUGUGGAUACAUGUUGUCUUAUUGCAAAGCAUCCCUCUUAAACUACAUUAGGCGCUGUGUUGAAGACAAUUCUUUGACCGAUAAUUGUUAACUUUUAAUACAUUGUGACUUAGAUGGUGAGUUGUCUCAUUGACACUCAUGCAACAUCUUCUUAUUUAUAUUAAACAAAGGUAGUGUUGCAUGUUUUCAAAACUCAAUCCAUUGACUUUCGGAUUAUCAAUCUGUUGCGUACCAAAAACGCUAUCAUCCUCCAUCUAAUACUGUACCUGACGACAUGGAAUUGAUUAUUGCAACAACAGAUGUAGAAGACGUACUUUACCGAAACACAGCUGAAAUCACCGUAAACUUCUACUUAAGAAUAAUCCAUUUUAUGACAGUAAACACAUCAUUACUUAUAUGCUAUCGUUUUUCAUACAUUGUAUGUCAGGUAUAUUAUAUAAACUGUAAAAUACCUUCAUUUGCAUGAAAUACAUACUAUUAUUAAGACCAUGAAUUUCGGAGUAAUGUACUUUGUCAUUAAUCAACGGAAAAUUAAUGGAAAUUUGAGAAAAAAAAGGCUUCCAUUCUCAAUUUUAUUCCAUUUUCAAUUUUAGUUUCAUUUGACAUCAUCUGAAAUUUUUUUUUAUUUUUGAGUUACUGUUUUUAUCAUUUUAAAUUUACUGUUUCAAUUUGUUUUUAAAUACGAGUAACUGAUUUAAAUUGGAUAUAUACUCAUUAUAGACGCAUACAUAGGAUAUGUAUACUUGGACCUCAUACUCUUUUUCAGUGUCUCCAAGCCGAUGAUAUAGCAGAUGCUUUAGUAUAUGCAUUAAGUGCUCCACCACAUGUCCAGGUUAGUAAUCUAUGCCUUAAGUGCUCCAGCACUAUUCAGGUUAGUAGUCUAUGCCUUAGGUGCUCCAGCCCAUGCUCAUGUUAUAAGUCUAUGCCUUAAGUGCUCCAUCACAUGGUCAGGUUAGUAGUCUAUGUCUUAAGUGCUCCAUUAUAUGCUCAGGUUAGUAGUCUAUGCUUAAAGUGCUCCAGCACAUGCUCAGGUUAGUCGGCUAUGUUUGAAAGAUACCAGAGGGACUGUCAAACUCAGCUCCAGCACAUGCUUAGGUUAGAAUGCUAUGUUUUAAGUACACUAUCACAUGCUCAGAUUAGUAGUCUAUGCCUUACGUGCUCCAGCACAUGCUCAGGCUAGUAGUCCAUGUCUUAUGUGCUACAGCACAUGCUCAUGUUGGUAGUUAAUGCGUUAGGUGCUCCAGCAUAUUCUCGGGUUAGCAGUUUUUACCUAAAGUGAUUCAACACAUCCACAGAUUAAUAGUCUAUGCCUUAAGUGCUCUCUUACAUGCUCAGGUUAGCAUCUUUUGCCUGAAUUGCUCCAGCACAAGCUCAGGUUAGUAGUCUAUGCCUUAUGUGCUCUAGCACAUGCUCAGAUUAGUUGGCUGUGCCGUAAGUGCUCCAGCACAUGCUCAGGUUAGUAGGCCAUGCAUAAAAUGCUCACGCACAUAUUCCAUCUAGCAGUCUAUGCCUUAAGUGCUCUCGCACAUACUGAGGUUAGUAGUCUAUGUCUUAAGUACUUCAUUAAAUGCUCGUGCUAUAUUAGUCUAUGCAUUAAGUGCUCCAGCACAUGCUCAGGUUAUCAGUCUAUGCAUAAAGUGCUCCAGUACAGGCUCAAGUUAGUAGUCUAUGUCUUUAGUGCUUAAGCAUAUGCUCAGGUGAGUAGCCUAUGCCGUAUGUGCUCUAGCACAUAUUCAGGUUGGUAGUCUAUGCCUUAAGUGCUCCAACACAUGCCAGGUUAGUAGUCUAUGCCUUAAAUGCUCCAGCACAUGAAGGUUUGUAUAGCCAUCAAACCAGGUUCAACCCAUAAUUUUUUCUUAAAAUUUCAUGUACCAAGUCAAAAAUAUGACAGCUGUUAUCGAAAAGUUCCUUUCUAUGUUAGGGGUCUUUUUUCUUUACUUCAGUGUUCCUGUUUUUCGUUUGUUUUUUCACUUAUAGUUGAUGUAUUUUACCGGUUUUUUUAUUUUGUAACCCGGUUUUGUUUUCUCUCAAUUGAUUUAUGACCUUCAAACAGUGAAUGAUGUAAUUCUAUAUCUAGGCAACUCUAGUUAAAUUAUGUUCAAAUGUCAUAAACUAAUUCACAAGAUGCAAAUCAGGCCACAGAACAAAAGAAUGGAAUCGCAUUAACUCCAAAUUUUGGGAUACUGGGUGCGUCGUUAGCGAAAGCGUAUCAUGCGCUUCAGGUUAUAUCGAAUUGAUGAUAGUGGUGACAUGCAAUAAAUGACAAAGUGUCUUGUAGGUUUAGACACAUGGUUUAAGGAUCAAGCAAUUUGUGAUAGCAACAAAAAACGUGAGGAUUUCAGUCGUUCGUCAAUAGAAUUUGUAUUUAAUAUGCCUGCAUGUUGGGAGAUUUUGUUUGAUAUCGGUUUUGCAAUUUUUUUCAAAGUUAAAUUCUCAUCUAAAAAUGAAUAUAUGGCUUUUGUUAGAUGUAGUACUCCGUGUACAUCCAUAGUCUAUAAAUGUUUGAUGUGUUAUCUAUGUUUCCUUUCAUACUAGCGUUAUCAAUAUUUAACUUUGUGCUAUAACAAUAACAACAAUGUUUUCAUGGAUAUACCAUUUGUUUUAUGUGUAAAUGUUUCUAAGAUACUCGGCCAAAUGAAUGAUAAAUUGUAUAAUGAUGUUUUGUAAUACACGAACACAGCUAGUAAAUCAUAACAAUUCCUCACUCUUUUCUAGGUCAUUGUUUAUACCGGCGAUACAACAAAUAAUCAUUAUAUACGAAGCCAAAGGAAUUCACGGCCUCGGUCAAUGAUUCCAGUCUCGCUUCGUUUUAAAAUCAUGCGAUUCCCUUUGUUUCAGUUUGUGACCUUGAUUUUUUUCUUCUUAUGGAUUCGUAGUAUGUGAGUGUUUGUAUACAAGAAAAUAAGAAUAAGUGGUUAAAUUUACCAAAUGUUUAAGUUUACAUUAAAAAAACACCAAUAAUGUUGAAUUAGGUAAAACGCAAUUUAAAUUAUUAGGCAAUGAGAGAACAGUUUGUAUAUAAUGUUAUAUGUUUUUGAUGUAUUUUUUUUUUUACAGAUACACGACAUUUUGAUUCGUCCAACAGACCAAGUCAGAUGAUAGGUUACUAAAAUCUUUUUUAUUGUAAUUUUCAUAACGUUAUUGCUCUUGCCAAUGUAUUCUAAUGUUUAGUUAGUAAAUGCUACUGUUAGUUUACAUUGUAUAUCGC
rnacentral:lncRNA from 1 species